rnacentral:rRNA from 1 species
UUAACACAUGCAAGUCGAGGGGUAUGGUUCUUCGGAACCAGAGACCGGCGCACGGGUGCGUAACGCGUAUGCAAUCUGCCUUUUACAGAGGGAUAGCCCAGAGAAAUUUGGAUUAAUACCUCAUAGUAUAGUACAGCCGCAUGGCUGAACUAUUAAAGUCACAACGGUAAAAGAUGAGCAUGCGUCCCAUUAGCUAGUUGGUAAGGUAACGGCUUACCAAGGCGACGAUGGGUAGGGGUCCUGAGAGGGAGAUCCCCCACACUGGUACUGAGACACGGACCAGACUCCUACGGGAGGCAGCAGUGGGGAAUUUUGGACAAUGGGGGCAACCCUGAUCCAGCCAUGCCACGUGAGUGAAGAAGGCCUUCGGGUUGUUAAGCUCUUUCGGUGGGAACGAAACGGUGGAGGACAACACCCCCCACUACUGACGGUACUCACAAAAGAAGCACCGGCUAACUACGUGCCAGCAGCCGCGGUAAUACGUAGGGUGCGAGCGUUAAUCGGAAUCACUGGGCGUAAAGGGCGCGUAGGCGGCCUGAUAAGUAGGGGGUGAAAUCCUGCGGCUUAACCGCAGGGCUGCCUUCUAAACUGUCGGGCUCGAGCACAGUAGAGGCAGGUGGAAUUCCCGGUGUAGCGGUGGAAUGCGUAGAGAUCGGGAAGAACAUCAGUGGCGAAGGCGGCCUGCUGGG